rnacentral:rRNA from 1 species
UACGGGGGGGGCAAGCGUUGUUCGGAAUUACUGGGCGUAAAGGGCUCGUAGGCGGCCAACUAAGUCAGACGUGAAAUCCUUCGGCUUAACCGGGGAACGGCCUCUGAUACUGGCUGGCUGGAGUUCGGGAGAGGGAUGCGGAAUUCCAGGUGUAGCGGUGAAAUGCGUAGAUAUCUGGAGGAACACCGGUGGCGAAGGCGGCAUCCUGGACCGGUAUUGACACUGAUGCGCGAAAGCCAGGGGAGCAAACGGG